UAGGGAAUUUUGGACAAUGGGCGAAAGCUUGAUCCAGCAAUGCCGCGUGUGUGAAGAAGGCCUUCGGGUUGUAAAGCACUUUUGUCCGGAAAGAAAUCCUUGGCUCUAAUACAGUCGGGGGAUGACGGUACCGGAAGAAUAAGCACCGGCUAACUACGUGCCAGCAGCCGCGGUAAUACGUAGGGUGCAAGCGUUAAUCGGAAUUACUGGGCGUAAAGCGUGCGCAGGCGGUUUGCUAAGACCGAUGUGAAAUCCCCGGGCUCAACCUGGGAACUGCAUUGGUGACUGGCAGGCUAGAGUAUGGCAGAGGGGGGUAGAAUUCCACGUGUAGCAGUGAAAUGCGUAGAGAUGUGGAGGAAUACCGAUGGCGAAGGCAGCCCCCUGGGCCAAUACUGACGCUCAUGCACGAAAGCGUGGGGAGCAAAACAGGAUUAGAUACCCCUGGUAGUCCACGCCCUAAAACGAUGUCAACUAGUUGUUGGGGAUUCAUUUCCUUAGUAACGUAGCUAACGCGUGAAGUUGACCGCCUGGGGAGUACGGUCGCAAGAUUAAAACUUAAAGGAAUUGACGGGGUCAUAGCUGUUU
rnacentral:rRNA from 1 species